UGCGGCGUGCUCCACAUUCUAAUCGAACGAGAAAGGGGACUUCGGUCCCUGACGUAAGUGGCGCACGGGAACACGUGACUUAUCUACCCUCGAGUGGGGAAUAACUUCGGGAAACCGAGGCUAAUACCGCAUAAUACCCACGGGUCAAAGGAGCAAUUCGCUUGAGGAGGAGGUCGCGGCCGAUUAGUUAGUUGGCGGGGUAAUGGCCCACCAAGACAGUGAUCGGUAUCCGGCCUGAGAGGGCGCACGGACACACUGGAACUGAAACACGGUCCAGACUCCUACGGGAGGCAGCAGUGGGGAAUUUAGCGCAAUGGGGGAAACCCUGACGCAGCAACGCCGCGUGGAGGAUGAAGUCUCUUGGGACGUAAACUCCUUACGAUCGGGACGAUUAUGACGGUACCGGAAGAAGAAGCCCCGGCUAACUUCGUGCCAGCAGCCAGCGGAAAUACGAGGGGGGCGAACGUAGAUCGGAACUAUAGGGCGUAAAGGGUGCGAUAAGCGG
rnacentral:rRNA from 1 species